AGUCUUGAAGUAUUUUUUUGAAGGUAUCAAAAGAUUUUUCCAUGGCUAACUUUACUACAAAAUCACCAGUUAAAUUUAUGGUACCAUCGCACUUGAUACUCACAGGAUAAUAUCAAUACUGAAGAUUUUGACCAACUCUCCGGUGGAAGGCUAUUAUCAUUUGGAUCAUCUAUUUUGCACAAAAGCCAUAACAGAGUCAACAAAUAUUUGGGUCAUUUUGAAACUUUUAUAACCUCAAGAAUAGCUGUUAAAUGCUUCAAGAUCCUCGAAGAGCUUUAUUAAAAAAGUGGUAUAUUGUUGUUAACGUCUAUCGCCCAGAGAAUACUAUGUACAACCAAACCAAGCUCAAUGAUUGCUUGUGUUUCUUCGAAAGUCUUUUUCCUUUCAACUCUUCUAUCAAAUUUUUAUUUUUGAAGCUUGGACCAAUAAGGGACAACAAGUCAUCACCAUCACUUGCCUUUUGACUUUUAAGGUGCGAGGUGCUUUUUUGGAUUAAAGUAGGUAUAGGAUGAAAAGAAGGAUAAUAUUUUAGUCUAAUAACUAUGACAAACUCCUUCAAACCUAAACAAACAGGUAUGGCACCUUAAUUUAUCCACACCUCAUUUAUCUUAUUUUUAUUUUCACACAUAAAACUACUCUUGAGAAGAUCAUACGCCAUGGUCAUUUGGAAAUAAGCAUUGUUGUCCACAGGAAUCAAUAUAUUGUUCAAAGUCGAUACCCCUGAAAUACACAUCUGAUAUUUAGUCUUGAAGUAUUUUUUUGAAGGUAUCAAAAGAUUUUUCCAUGGCUAACUUUACUACAAAAUCACCAGUUAAAUUUAUGGUACCAUCGCACUUGAUACUCACAGGAUAAUAUCAAUACUGAAGAUUUUGACCAACUCUCCGGUGGAAGGCUAUUAUCAUUUGGAUCAUCUAUUUUGAAAUUUUUCUCUUCGCUUUCUUUUCUUUUGGAAGUCAUAUUAUCUAAAAAUGAGAGAACUAAAAAAGAUUAUAAUUGAUUAAUGCAUUGUUAAAAAAAAGUUAACAGUAAAUCUAACAAGUACAAAACAUUAACACAACAGUUCCAACAUAUUACUCA
rnacentral:lncRNA from 1 species